rnacentral:lncRNA from 1 species
CACAUGGAUUAAUUGAUGGACCUUGGGUUUAUGGAGCUACCUUUUCAUGACCUGCUCUUCCUACAGUUUCUAAGAAGAAAAGGGGGCCUCUGAAUCAAAGAAGAUGCCUCGAACUAAACAGAUUCAUCCCAGAAAUCUAAGAGACAAAAUUGAAGAAGCACAAAAAGAACUAAAUGGGGCAGAAGUGUCAAAAAAAGAACUCUUAGAGGCUGGCAUCAAAGGAACUUCCGAAUCGCUUAAAGGUGUGAAACGGAAAAAGAUUGUAGCAGAGAAUCACCUGAAAAAAAUACCAAAAUCCCCUCUGAGAAAUCCUCUUCAGGCCAAACACAGACAAAAUACCGAAGAGUCCCCUUUCCCCGUGCUCGCGGGCACGGCAGAGCCCCACAAGAAGCAGAGCCACAGUCCGGUGAAGGCCGGGGGGAGGCCGCUGACCAAACACAACGGGGAGACCCCAGGGCUGACCGCCGGGACCCCCAAGUCCGAAGCCCCCGUCUGCCCCCGGAAGCCCCCAUUUCUGCCGCAGCUGUCGGAGCCGCGCCGAUGGCGGUCGGAGGGCCCCGACCCCGCCAAGGCCGGCGUCCCAGAGGGAAAGCGUGACCCCGGGUCCCCGCCCAGCAAGGGCAAAGCUGAGCGCUGCGAGGGUCCAGCCUCCCCCGGCCACAGCUCCCCACCCGCCUCCUUUGCAAACACCGCCUUUGACGUCUUGCUGAAGGCCAUGGAGCCGGAGCUGAGCACCCUGUCGCAGAAGGGCUCACCCUGUGCCGCAAAGAUCGAAAACCUGAGACCAAAUAAAACCGCACGCGCCCCUGCUCACCUCCACGGAGGCCCGCGGGAGGCCCCCGACCCGCGCCUGCCAGAUGUGGCCGCCCCCUCGCAGCCGCUGCCGCCGCCUCGGACCUCGUACCCCUCCGGGCCAGUGUCCGCUGCUCAGAGGAAGGACCCAGCAGCAGCCCGGGCCGCCUCUCCGGCGUAUCACAUACAGGAACUCCCCGUGCCUAAACCCGGCCCACAAAGUCAGCAGCUUCCCGCAUGUUCGGGUUUCGCCCCAUCUCUCAAGAGCCUGCAGAGCCAGGAGAAUGCCCAGCUUGAACAUGUCUACACCGCCGCAGCCACGUCACCCCCCGGCCACACUCAGGUCACCCCUCCCAACCAGCAAGUGGACGCUGCCGCCCCGGUGCCGGUGAGCCCCGCGCCUUCCACACAGUCACCCCAAUGCCCCAUCUACAACUCCAGCCCUGUCGCUGCUGUGGUUAACCACAGCGUGGAGCAAAUGUGCAGUCUUCUCCUGAAAGAUCAGAAGCCAAAAAAGCAAGGAAAAUACAUCUGUGAGUAUUGCAACCGAGCCUGUGCAAAGCCCAGCGUGCUUCUAAAGCACAUCCGCUCCCACACUGGGGAGCGCCCCUACCCCUGCGUGACCUGUGGGUUUUCAUUUAAGACUAAAAGCAACCUGUACAAGCACAAAAAGUCCCACGCACACACUAUCAAACUGGGCCUUGUCCUGCAGCCAGAUGCCAGUGGCUUGUUCAUGUCACACGAGUCCCCCAAAGCACUUAGCAUCCAUUCGGAUGUGGAAGACAGUGGAGACAGUGACGAGGAUGGCGCUGGCGAUGAAAGGCCAAACGACCCGGGCUCCAUGGACCUGCAGCCAGCGCAGAUGAUAAGAAUGCUGUCCAGCUCGGAAACUUUACCAAAAUCAGGUUCCAUUCCAAGCAACCCCAAGCACGUGGUCGGUGACUUUGCACCGCAGGACAGGUCUUCAGAAUCACAGGCUGCGGCAGAGUUACCAAAGGUUGUGGUCCACCCCAUCAGCAUGUCCCCUUUAAGAGUUGAUAGCCCGAAGGUUACGGAGUCCAAGCCUGAGCUCCCUGGUGCACAGAAAGACCUUCAGGGAACCCGGGUCCUGUCCCACCCGGCUUGGGCGUCCUCCAGGGAGGCAGAUGAGAAGGCCCAUCAGAAAGGCGACCCAAGUCAGCCCGAUGGAAAGCCAGAGUCCCCUGUGGGCACAGCGCAUGCCCAGCUGCAGAGGCAGCAGGCCACUGAUUACUGCCAAGAGCAGCAAGGAAAACUGCUGAGUCCUCGCAGCCUGGGAAGCACGGAUUCGGGCUACUUUUCCCGAUCUGAGAGCGCUGACCAAACCGUGAGUCCACCCACCCCCUUUGCCAGGACGCUACCUGCCCCAGAGCAGGACUCUGUGAAGAACAGCGGGCCAUCGACCCCUCGGGUCAGCACACCAGCAGCCUCUGCUGUUCCAGCAGGUGAAAAAGCGCCCCUCCUCCCAGGUCAGAUGAGACUUCCACUGGAACCGAAAACACUGGAGGAGCGGAUCUCAAAGCUCAUCUCCGACAACGAAGCCCUGGUGGAUGACAAGCAGCUGGACAGCGUGAAGCCCCGGAGGACCUCUCUCUCCCGCCGGGGAAGCAUCGAUUCCCCCAAGUCGUACAUCUUUAAGGACUCUUUCCAGUUUGACUUGAAACCAAUGGGACGGAGAACAAGUUCAAGCUCUGAUAUACCAAAGUCCCCUUUCACCCCGACAGAGAAAUCAAAGCAAGUGUUUCUUCUGUCUGUACCUUCCCUCGACUGCCUGCCCAUCACCAGGAGUAAUUCCAUGCCCACCACUGGGUACUCCGCAGUACCUGCCAGCAUCAUCCCUGCCCCACAUCCACUGAGAGGAAGUCAGUCUUUUGAUGACAAAAUUGGCGCUUUCUACGAUGAUGUCUUCGUACCAGGACCUAACCCUUCUGUGACCCAGAGUGGACAUCCCCGCACCCUGGUGAGACAGGCAGCGGUGGAAGACUCCUCAGCGAGCGAAAACCACAUUCUUGGGGCCGGACUGCCCUGGGACGAGAGCCAUCCUGGAGGCAGCCCCGCCGGGGAGACUGCAGCCUUGAGGAGCAAGCCCCCGGCCCCAGGCUCACACUUGGAAAAGAAGAAGUCUCACCAAGGGCGAGGGACCAUGUUUGAGUGCGAGACCUGUAGAAACAGGUAUCGGAAACUGGAAAAUUUUGAAAACCAUAAGAAAUUUUACUGUUCAGAGUUGCAUGGACCAAAAACCAAGGUUGCUGUGCGGGACCCAGAGCACAGCCCGGUGCCCGGUGGGGCACAGCCUCCCAUCCUGCACUACAGGGUCGCCGGAGCCACCAGGGUCUGGGAACAGACGACCCAGAUCCGGAAAAGGAGGAAAAUGAAAAGCGUCGGAGAUGAUGACGAACUUCAGCAGAACGAGAGUGGAGCACCUCCGAAAAGCUCCGAGGGCUCCCAUUCUCAGAGCGCGCUGGGCCUGGCUCCCUUGUCUCAGCAGAACCUUGCCAUACCCAGCGAGCUGCAGCCUCGAAACCAGCGGCAGACCACGCAGAUUCAGCUUGGGGCCAGAGGUCCCGACCAGCCCCGGGACCCAAAGCCGUCGUCCGUCCUGGAAGAGCUGAUGAGCUCGGCUGCCCAGGACAGGGCGGAGCCCAAGAGACACGGGGCCGGCAUCUCGGUCAUCCAGCAUACAAACUCGCUCAGCAGGCCUGGGGCCUUUGACAAGCUGGAUACUGGCGAAGGCGCGUCCCCCGUUCCUUUCCAGGAGCUGAGAACGGGCAAGCCGGGGUCUCUGAGGGUCAGAGGAGUUUCCCAAGAGGAAGGACGCCCUUCCCGGCACACCUCUCAGCCCACACUGUCCGAUGCUCUGAGAGGGGAACUUCAGGACGGUUCCAGAAAGAUCUCAGGUGAGCGGCACGUGCUCGGACAGCCCUCCAGACUCGUUCGGCAGCACAGCAUCCAAGUCCCGGAAAUCCUGGUCACCGAAGAGCCAGAUCAGGACCUGGAAGGCCAAGGCCACGAUGCAGAGAAAUCGGAGAAGUUCAGUUGGCCUCAGCGGAGCGAAACCUUGUCCAAGCUGCCGACGGAGAAACUGCCGCCCAAGAAGAAGAGGCUGCGCUUGGCCGAGAUGGAGCAUUCUUCCGCCGAGUCGAGUUUCGACUCCACACUCUCCCGGAGUCUCAGCAGGGACAGUAGUUUAUCGCACACUUCGAGUUUCUCCGCGUCUUUAGACGUGGAGGACGUUUCUAAGACCGAGGCCUCCCCCAAAAUUGACUUUCUGCACAAAGCGGACUUCCUCCUGAUUCCGGCUGGCUCUAACACGCUGAGUGUUCCGGCAGGUCACCGUGAGAUGCGGCGGGCCGCGUCGGAACAGAUUCACUGCCUGCAGACAUCCAUGGAGGUGUCCGAUUUCAGAAGCAAGUCAUUCGACUGUGGAAGCAUAGCCCCAUCUAAGAAGGUGCCACCGGCCGAAUCGCAUCCUCCAACAUCCGCUUCCGGCGUGGGGGUCGCGGGGCACGUGCCCCUCUUGGAAAGACGGAGGGGCCCACUGAUACGGCAGAUCUCUUUAAACAUCCAUCCGGAGAAUCAGCUGGCUUCCGGGAACCCAUUAUCUUUCCAGACCAUCGCCCGUCCCGCUGUGAACACAGUGCCAUGGCAGGGGCCUCAGCUCACUCACACAGUUUCAGCCGAGUUCCCUGCAAGUACUUUGUACUCCCAGACUCCAGGGAAGGAUGUGCUAGCAGAAACGGCAAGUUCCCACUCUCCAAACCUCUUUUCCGUUCAACAGCUUCUAGGCAUACACUCGUUGAAUCAAAUCCCCGUGCCACUUAGCCACCCAGACACACAGAUGUCCCUGCAGGUGUCUUCUACGCAGAGUGUCAAACCAGAUGCAAGCCCCGGUGGCCGUCUACCUUCCAAAAGUGAAGAUUGCUUUGCUCCCAAGUACCAGCUCCAGUGUCCGGCGGUCCCCUCCAGCCAACCUUGCACUUCUAAUCCUGUGCAACCUCUGCCAAAGCAAGUUCUUUCAGAUGCAGCCGGGGCCACCCCUGGUGUGACCUCACUGACCUUACCAGCCAAAUUAGCAGAAGCCACGUCUAACUCGUGUCCUCCGCCACCCCUGAAGGUCGGGGCGCUCGGCGGUCAGGUGCCAAAGGUGCCCACGUCCUUGACGCUGUCCACGCACCUGCAGACUCAGGUCCCCACGUACUGUUUCGCCACAGUCACAGCUCUGCCACAAAUCCUAGUGACCCAGGAUCUCUCCAAUCAGCCGAUUUGCCAGGCUAAUCGUAGUAUGGUGCCAAUCAGCGAGGAACAAAAUUCCGUACCAAAACCGCAAAACGAUCCCCGGAAUGCUUUGCCAAACCCAGAGGGAGAGCUCGUCCACCAACCUGUCUUUUCAGAGAUGGGCCAAAACCCAUCUCCGUCAGAAUCCUUGCCCACAACACCGAAGAUGUCUGUCGGGAGACUUUCCCCACAGCAAGAAUCUUCAGCUUCCAGUAAAAGGAUGCUCUCCCCAGCAAAUAGUUUAGACAUUGCCAUGGAAAAGCACCAGAAGCGAGCCAAGGAUGAAAACGGAGCUGUCUGUGCGACAGACACGAGACCGCUGGAAGCAGCGGGUUCAAGAGCUCCUGACGGUAGCAAACAGAAGAAGCCUGUGCUAGUGAGGCAGGUGUGUACCACAGAGCCCCUUGAGGCUGUGACGUUGGAGCAGGAUGUUGUUCCUCACCCCAAAGUCAGUACCGAGGCCCUUCACUUGACUGAUGUGCCACCAGCCGAUAGAGAGCCCAUGAAAGAACUGCAGGAAUUUGAAAGUAUCCCAUCAGCUGCAUUGCUAACGCCGACAGUUCGAAACCCAGCUGCACCUGCAGAGAAAACUCAUAUUUCUCCUUUGGAAUCCAUAGACAACCACCAAGAAAGGAAGUCUCCAGGGAUUAAAAAUCCAGGUGACAAAGCAAAUGUCCAGGAACAGAGUCAGCAUGCGGCCACGACUCCUUCCACGUGUGAGGCUGGCGACACACAGCCGUCCACGUCCUUCCCCAGCCUGAAGACGGCCACCAGCUUCACAUGGUGCUACCUGAUGAGACAGAAGGCCCUGCACCUGCCGCAGAAGGACCAGAAAACUUCGGCCUACACCGACUGGACCGUGAGUGCCAGUGAUCCAAACCCACUCGGCCUGCCAACCAAAGUGGCUCUUUCUCUCUUGAACUCCAAGCAGAAGACCGGAAAAUCUCUGUACUGUCAAGCAAUAACCACCCAUUUCAAGUCAGACUUACUGGUCUAUUCAAGCAAGUGGAAAAGCAACUUAAGCAAGAGAGCAUUAGGUAAUCAAAAGUCCACAGUAGUUGAAUUCAGCAGUAAAGAUGCCUCUGAAAUUAACAGUGAGCAAGAUAAAGAAAAUUCCUUAAUCAAAAGUGAACCAAGAAGAAUUAAAAUAUUUGAUGGAGGAUAUAAAUCAAAUGAAGAGUAUGUAUAUGUCCGAGGCAGGGGAAGAGGAAAGUACAUUUGUGAAGAAUGCGGAAUCCGUUGUAAGAAACCUAGUAUGUUAAAGAAACACAUACGAACCCAUACAGAUGUCCGCCCCUACCACUGCACUUUCUGUAACUUCUCCUUUAAGACUAAAGGAAAUCUGACAAAACACAUGAAGUCCAAGACACAUAGCAAGAAAUGUGUGGAUUUAGGCGUCUCAGUAGGUUUAAUAGAUGAACAAGAUACAGAAGAAUCAGACGAGAAACAGAGGUUCAGUUUCGAGAGGUCUGGAUACGACCCGGAGGAAUCCGAUGGCGCCGAGGACGACGACAUCGAGAACGAGGAGGAGGACGAAGACAGCCAGGCCGAGUCGGUGCUGUCGGCCGCGCCCUCGGCCGCAGCCAGCCCGCAGCACCUGCCGGCCAGGGGCGGCCCUGGAGACCCCACGGGUGCGGACGAGGACGCCGGCGCCCCCGAGGGCUCUCCCGGGGGCCCCGCAGACGCGAUGGAUGUGCUGCCGAGGGCUCUGCCCACCAAGAUGACGGUGCUGAGCGCGCUGCAGUCGGACCGCGGCGGGAGCCCGGGGUCCCCCAGCAGCGCCGGGCCGCAGCCCGCGGGCAAUGCGGAGGCGGCCGCCCGCCCACCCGAGCGGGCGCCCAGGUCCCCGUGUCUCCAGAUGUCUGUGGACUACCCCGACCCGGAGGAGGUGCUGAGCGGCUCUGCGGCAGGACAGGCUGUGGCUUUAACGCAGGGCCCUCCGUGCCUGAGCCUUCCUUCUCCCCCGGCAUCUGAGCGCAGCCCUCAGCCAGGAGGGGCUCCUCCGUCCACCUCGCCUCGGCCCGGCCCCCAAGAGCAGAAGCCGAAAGCCUCCCUGCCUCCACCCGCAGGCCUGCCUUCUCCGCAGACGCACCUGUUCAGCCACCUGCCUCUGCAUUCCCAGCAGCAGUCAAGGACACCCUAUAACAUGGUUCCGGUCGGGGGCAUCCAGGUGGUCCCCGCUGGCCUCACCUACUCCACCUUCGUCCCCAUCCAGGCCGGGCCAGUGCAGCUCACCAUCCCAGCUGUCAACGUCAUCCACAGACCACUGGGCACCCCAGGGGACUUGAGCGCGGACGUGCCAGGCGCUGCCAGCCCCGCGGGCGUGACCGAACUGAGCAGCGUGGUGCCCUGUAUCCCCAUCGGCCAGAUCCGCGUCCCAACGCUGCAGCCCCUGCCGGCCCUGAGCAUGGAGACCGUCAACAUCGUGGGCUGGCCCUCAAUGCCAGCAGCCCCGCGCCCCCCGCGCCCAUCCCGGGCCUCCAGAUUCUAA